UAACCAUCGGUGGUUCAGUGGUAGAAUGCUCGCCUGCCACGCGGGCGACCCGGGUUCGAUUCCUCGCCGAUUAA
rnacentral:tRNA from 1 species